CUUUGUAAAAAUAAAAAGCUUGGCUAAAUCAUUGGAAUAAGGCUAAUAGUAUAUAAUAUAUUCAAAAAGUGUUCAAUUUACUCGAUAAACGACACGAUUCUUGAGAUAAGGUUUUUACUAGCACGCUCUCGUCAGCAGCAUUGCGAUUGAUGAAGUCGAUUUGAAGGUUAGCUCGAUACGUGACGUGACGUCGUAAAGCAGCAGCACAAGAAAGCUGGUGUGUAUAUACGGUGGAACGUAAAGGGCUGACGUUCGUGGACGAACGAAAGCGUGCAAUGAAACUGGCCGCCUACUCUCUUCGAUUGUGGGACAAAUUUUUCUUAUCAAUUGCUGAGUAUAGAAUCACAUUUCCUGUGUUUUUCCAAAGACAACAUAAUGCAGAUAUACACCAGAAAGAGUUUCACUAAAAACAAAUCCAUUUGUCGUUGAAUUAAUUAUACAGGGUGUCAAGUAACAUAUCGAACAUUCUUGCAAGGAUCCUGCUUUUCCUUCACACGUUUCACAAAAAAAGCUGGGACUGAAAGAAUGUCAAGUGGAACUCAACAAAGGAGCUUCUGAGCUACUUUACAUAAAAACACAAUGUGCUUGAAAAUACCAGUCGCUGGAGAGAAUUCAGUAAAAUAAGUAGAAAGAUAAAAAGAUAUGUAAUGUUUUUCGAAUGGUAUCAGGUGGGAUAACGUUGUAUCGAUAACGUCGAUGGUAGUCACGGUUCCUUAAUCUAAAACCUUUGGCCGGAGAUCGUUAGAUUCUAUUGCCGCGUGGAAAUCGCGGAUAAGGAACGCGGGACCGGAAGCUCGUGGCGGCGAAGGGUAAAGGGGCGAGCGCGGCGAGGGCAGCUCAACGUUUCGUUUGCAUGUCCCGGUGUAAUAAGCGUCACCCCCAGUGACUUCUCGGCUGGCGUUAUUAAUUCGAUUAUAAUGAGCUAUUAAGCGAAACGCUGGUAAUCCUGACAAGCUCCAUUCAACGGGCUAGGCUUAGCUGCUCGAACCCAGCGAUUGCCUGCAACCCUGUUCGCUGUUAAGCAAAUUAUCAGAGAGGGGAACGCCUCGAGCCUCCUACUACCUUCUUAUCGCAUUUUUACGACACCUUGAUUUCAAUUUUUAAAUCGUUUCCGCAAUGUCUCCGUUCAGGGUAAAGUAAUUCCUCGAAGACGGAUUUAGGAUGUUAAGGAUGGCUGACAGGAUCGUUUUUCUGCAUAAUAAAUAAUUGAAAGACUUUUUUCGUGAAUUGAGUAAAUUGCGUUUGAAGUAUUAAUUAAUCCGCGUUUUUAAUAUUAGAUACCUUUCAAUUGAUAAGUGUAAUAAUUCUUAAAGAUGUUCUUUUUAUGUUUAUAAAAUGAAUACAAAUUUGUAUAAUAAUUCAACUAUUACAUUAUUAGAAAAUGUAUAUAUCUAAGUUGUAUUUGAAAUAUUAAUUAUUCUGGGUUUUUAAUAUUAGAUACUUUUCAAUUGAUAAGUGUAAUGACUCUUAAAGAU
rnacentral:misc_RNA from 1 species